AACGCCAGGUUGAAGGUCUUUGUUAACAGGAGCUAGAGGAAGACAGAUGGCUGAGGUUGCUGUCCCUGUUGCACAAGGUGCGUUGUGCUGAAUCGCUUCAGGAAGGAAGAACCAGUGCUCCCGUGGGAGACCCGUUUGUUCGAGAUGGAUUUUGAGCCAAGGAUCUUUUGAAGACCCUGACCUGGAGUUACAUUCUGACCUCAUUUCUUUGUGGGAAUGGGACCUGCUCUCAGGGCGUCAUGAUUCGCCACUUCGUCCAAGGACAUGGCCAGGAAAACCUGCGGGUACCGGACUUUUGUGGCUCUGGAGUUAGGCUGAUUCUAGGCCGGUGCCCCUGACUGAGGUGUCACGGGAGAACAGGGAACAUCGGGAGCAGCUGGUUAGUUGCCGUGGGUUGUGUGUCCAGAGACCUGAGCCUUUCCAGGGCAGACUCUCCAGAUGAAGAGCUUGGAAAAAGCAGCACAACACACUUUCAACAUCAUAAAUCAGCAAGCUGUUUGUUAUGUCUCCCUUCCUGCUGUGAAAUGGGGACACCUCUUUUUCCUUUGCUAGGGAGAGAGAUCGUGUGGUAUGUCGAAUUACCGGGUGAACCAGUAAUGUUUGGGGUACUGCAAGUCUGUGUCUUUAUUGACACGUUGCUGCAUGCUUGAGUGCUCGGUAGAGGGUGCUGAUGCUUUUUUGCUGGUUGGAGGGAGGGGUUAGUUGCCUUGUUGCUGUUUGUGUGUGGGAGGGGGAGCUGGGGGGACUUUGGGGUUCUAACGUUUAACUGCCAUUCAUUCUUUGGGGCACUCUUCGUGUUUUUGUGGAUGUUUGCGAAGAAAAAGAAUUUCAGCAUGUACAUUUCUCUGAUAUUAAAUGUACCUAUUGAGGCAUAGGAGUAGAUUUAGGCCAUUUGGUCCAUCUAGUCUGUGCCACAUCCAAUCAGGCUGAUUUAUUGAAUAAUAUUUAUUACUAUAGGCACCUCAUAAAUAUUACUCGAUCAAUUUGUUGCUGUGGACCAUCUACAUGUUGUGCAUUCAGAGAUGCUCUUCUGCACAUUGUUGUUGUAAAAUGUGAUUAUUUGAGUUAAUGUUGACUUCCUGCUUGCUUGAGUCAGUCUGGGCAAUCCUCUCUGACCUCUGUCAUUAGCAAGAUGCAUUCACCCAUAGGACUGCUGCUCACUGGAUACUGGAUCUUAGGAAUGGUGACGGGGUCUGUGGGACAGGUGGCAGAGAAGGUGUGCCAGGGGCAGGGGGUGGUGUGGAUGCAGACACCGGGCAAGGUUCUUUGAUUCCAAACCAUCAGCUUAUUGAUCAUUACAGAAAGUAUCUCUGGUGCUUCUCAGUACCUCCUCUCUCCCUUGCCCUUUUCCCAGCCAUGAUUCCCCUCUCCCUAACCCCUAACCCACUCUCACUCUCAAUAGACUCAUACCAGAAUCAGAUUUAUCAUUGCUCAGGUAUCAUAAAACUUGAUUCUUUUUUUGUUUGGCAGCAAUGCAGUGCAAUAAGUAAUAUUACUACAGUACUAUGCAAAAGUCUUAGGCACCUUGGCUCUCUAUAUGUGCCUCAGAAUUCUGCGCAGUGCGUACUGCUGCCACAAAACCGAAAUUUCAAGCCUUUCAGUGACAGUAAAUCUGUUUCUGAUCAUCACCUGUCCCCAGUUUAUUUGGAGGAGGUGAAAGUUAUUCAAGCAAGAGGACAUGACAUGAGUUGAGAGUUAGGGGGCAAAAGUUUAAAGGUAAUAUGAGCGGAAAUUUCUUUACUCAGAGAGUGGUAGCUGUGUGGAAUGAGCUUCUAGUAGAAGUAGUAGAGGCAGGUUUGGUAUUGUCAUUUAAAGUAAAAUUGGAUAGGUAUAUGGACAGGAAAGGAAUGGAGGGUUAUGGGCUGAGUGCGGGCCAGAGGGACUAGGUGAGAGUAAGUGUCGGCACGAACUAGAAGGGCUGAGAUGGCCUGUUUCCGUGCUGUAAUUGUUAUACGGUUAUAUAUGGUUAUAUGGAAAUUAACAAACCCCCUUCUCAAAACUGCAGGAUUCCAUCUGGGGAUAUGACUCCCUACGCCUCUGUUUUGGGGGCUCCAGUGUUGAGACCCAAGAUCCAGUGUCCCCGUAGUGGGUCAAGUCACAGGUUAAAUGAGACUUGCCACUCAGCUGAUGGAGAGUCUCCUUCCACUGCACGUCUGCAGAGAUUGCUUAGCCAGCUAAGUGCUUCCAGUGGUUUUGCCUGUGUUCCAGAUUUCAGAAAUUAUUACAGGAGAGAUACGAGCACGAAAAGAAGAAGAGCUAAUUGCCAGAAGACAAAGAGUGGGAAUAAAGGGGGCCAUAAUGUUUAGCUGUGGGUGCCUCGUGCUGCUCGGCAGCGGUUGGGGCUGGGUCCACUACUUUACACAUUAUAUUUUAAUGAUCUGGGUGACAGAUUUUAGAUUUUGUAGCCAAAUUUGGGAUGAUACAAAGACAGGCGGGGGGUGGGGGGGUAUUGCUGAGGAAGCAGGCCGUCUGCAGAAGGACCGAGACAGAUUAGGAGAAUAGGCAAAGAAGGGCAGAUGGAAUACCACAGAGAGAUGCGCCUGAUUGCACACUUUGGUGGAAAGAAUAAAGGCAGAGACUAUAUGGGGAGCAAACUCGGGGUGAAAAGGAAUCUUUGCAGGGUUCUCUAAAGGUUAACCUGUUGGUUAGGUUUGUAGUAAGGAAGGCAAAUAUAAGGCUACAGUCAUAGAUUCAUACAACCCUACAGCAUACAAACAGGCCCUUCAACCCAUCUAGUCUGGUUCUAUUGACCUGUACACCCAGACCAUAGCCAGCUAUUCAUAUAUAUCUUAAAUGUUGAGAUCAAUGAACCCACAUCCAUCACUUCCGCUGGCAGCUCAUUCCACACUCUCACCACCCUCAGGUUGAAGAAGUUCCCCCUCAUGAUCUCCUUAAGUAUUUCACCAUUAACCCAUGAUCUCUAGUUCUAGUCUCACUCAGCCUCAGCGGAAAAGGCUUACUGGCAUUUAUACUAACCAUACCCAUUUUCUGACGUCCGGAGCAAGAAGAGAGCAGGGCCUGGAUGGAGAGGUUCUGGAUGUUGGAUGCAGCUUUCCUGUGACAAUGCUCUGUGUAGAUGUCCUCAAUGGAGGGACGGCUUUACCCUGUGAUGGACUAGGCUGCAUUUACUGCUUUUUGUAAGACUUUCCAUUUGGUGCUCCCAUACCAAGCCAUGUUGCAACCAGUCAAUAUACUCUCCACCAUACAUCGAUAGAAAUUGUCAGUUUUAGGUGACAUGUCGAUUCUCCACAAACUUCUAAAGUAGUAGAGACACUGCCAUGCUUUCUUUGUAAUUGCAAUUACCCACUGGACCUGGGACAGAUCCUCUGACAUGAUAACAUCAAGGAAUUUUAAAUCGCUGACCCUCUCCAAUUCUGAUCCUCUGAUGAGGACUGGCUCAUGGACCCCCGGUUUCCUCUUCCUGAAGUCAAUGAUUAGCUCCUUGGUCUUGCUGACACUGAGUGAGAGAUUGUUGUUGUGACACCACUAAGCCUGAUGAAUUUACCAUUUACCUCAGGACCCAUACCAACAAGUUCAGGAACAGUUAUUAACCCUCAACUUGAACCAGAGGGGAUAAUUUCAGUUGCCCCAUCUAUUAACUGUUUUCACAACCUAUGGACUCACUUUCAAGGACUCUUCAUCUCAAGUUUUUGAUAUAUAUAUAUAUAUAUAUCUUAUGUAUGUAUCAUUAAGAUUCUUUUUUUCUUUUGUAUUUGCAGUCUGUAGCAUGUUGCAAUUGGUUGACUGUCCAUCUUGCUGGGCGUGGUCUUUCAUUGAACCUAUUGUGCUUCUUGGAAUUACUGUGUAUGCCCACAAGAAAAUGAAUCUCAGAGUUGCAUAUGAUCACUUGUAUGUACUUCAAUAAUAAAAUUGCUUUGAACUUU